rnacentral:misc_RNA from 1 species
GAAAUGCGAUAAGUAAUGUGAAUUGCAGAAUUCAGUGAAUCAUCGAAUCUUUGAACGCACAUUGCGCCCGCCAGUAUUCUGGCGGGCAUGCCUGUUCGAGCGUCAUUACAACCCUCAGGCCCCCGGGCCUGGCGUUGGGGAUCGGCGGAAGCCCCCUGCGGGCACAACGCCGUCCCCCAAAUACAGUGGCGGUCCCGCCGCAGCUUCCAUUGCGUAGUAGCUAACACCUCGCAACUGGAGAGCGGCGCGGCCACGCCGUAAAACACCCAACUUCUGAAUGUUGACCUCGAAUCAGGUAGGAAUACACGCUGAACUUAAGC